UACGUAGGGUGCAAGCGUUGUCCGGAAUUAUUGGGCGUAAAGAGCUUGUAGGCGGUCUGUCGCGUCGAUUGUGAAAUCUUGCAGCUCAACUGCAAGCCUGCAGUCGAUACGGGCAGACUAGAGUACUUCAGGGGAGACUGGAAUUCCUGGUGUAGCGGUGAAAUGCGCAGAUAUCAGGAGGAACACCGGUGGCGAAGGCGGGUCUCUGGGAAGUAACUGACGCUGAGAAGCGAAAGCGUGGGUAGCGAACAGG
rnacentral:rRNA from 1 species